rnacentral:rRNA from 1 species
GUAGGUGGCAAGCGUUGUCCGGAAUUAUUGGGCGUAAAGCGCGCGCAGGCGGUUCUUUAAGUCUGAUGUGAAAGCCCACGGCUCAACCGUGGAGGGUCAUUGGAAACUGGAGAACUUGAGUACAGAAGAGGAAAGCGGAAUUUCACGUGUAGCGGUGAAAUGCGUAGAGAUGUGGAGGAACACCAGUGGCGAAGGCGGCUUUCUGGUCUGUAACUGACGCUGAGGCGCGAAAGCGUGGGGAGCAAACAGGAUUAGAUACCCUGGUAGUCCACGCCGUAAACGAUGAGUGCUAAGUGUUAGGGGGUUUCCGCCCCCCUUAGUGCUGCAGCUAACGCAUUAAGCACUCCGCCUGGGAGUACGGCCGCAAGGCUG